GGACUACAGGGGUAUCUAAUCCUGUUUGCUCCCCACGCUUUCGUGCAUGAGCGUCAGUGUCAUCCCAGGGGGCUGCCUUCGCCAUUGGUGUUCCUCCACAUCUCUACGCAUUUCACUGCUACACGUGGAAUUCCACCCCCCUCUGACACACUCUAGCCCCGUAGUUUCAAAUGCAGUUCCCAGGUUGAGCCCGGGGAUUUCACAUCUGACUUGCGGAACCGCCUGCGCACGCUUUACGCCCAGUAAUUCCGAUUAACGCUUGCACCCUACGUAUUACCGCGGCUGCUGGCAC
rnacentral:rRNA from 2 species